ensembl:snRNA U2 U2 spliceosomal RNA
AUCACUUCUCGGCCUUUUGGCUAAGAUCAACUGUAGUAUCUGUUCUUAUCAGUUUAAUAUCUGAUACAUCCUCUAUCUGAGGAUAUUUGGAGCAGGGAGUUGGAAUAGGAGCUUGCUCCGUCUACUCCACGCAUCAACCUGGUAUUGCAGUACUUCCAGGAACAGUGCACCCCGC